rnacentral:lncRNA from 1 species
UUGUAUACUGACAGCAUAUCCAAAUUAAAUCUGUUUUGCAGUGUUAAUAUUAUUACCACGUUUUGUGUAACUUUUUUCAAUUAGAUACAAGAUUUUGGUAGAUUUACACCAUUCUACAAGUGUUUCAGUAGGGUAUGAACAUCAAAAGUUCCCCAAUCGUUAAGAUCAAAAUUACUUAUCAAGAUAUUAGAGUCGUCCCAAGCAACCACAAAGACCAAAUUUAGAGUCAUCCAAACACACUUUUGGAUGAAAAACAAAACUUGAAACAAAACAAAACACACCAUAAGAAGCACAGUGAAAAAUUUUCAUCCACAUCCUAAGUUGUUUCUUUUCACAACACGUUCGGCUUUAGAUUACACGUCAGGCAGCUGUAGGUUAACUGGUUAAGCCAAUUCCCUAAAAUGCAAUAUAAAAUUGACCCCUAAUAUCAAAUAGCACACAGCUUACACUAUUGUGCAUAACUAGAAAAGUAAAAUUACCAACACCAAAACUACAACUUAUUGUUAUUAUAAAAGUUACAAAAAUUAAAUUACAUAAGACAUACCCUACCAGUCACUUAUUUCGAUGUUACCUGCAUUAGAUCACAGAACCAGUAUAAUGUUAUUUUGUUCCAAAUUUUAUUGCAUACUCUGUAUGUAUGGAACUUCAAUGAACAUCAGACAAACACAGUAAACAUGAGACCCGGGUUUCGAAAUUACGUGAACAGCGGAUAUAUCAUUCACAUUUCCCGUUAUGUAUUCUCUGCAGGCAGUAACAGGUAUGGUACAGAUCUACGAACUAGACAAAUUUUCUACUUCUAAAAGAUAUUCUCACAGACUUGUUGGUGUUCAGAUUUUUUUCUUGUGUGAAUAUCAAUAUUAACCAGUAAAAACAUGCAUAUUUCCAAGACAUACAGCCAAGGCCUUAAAUAGUCAACAUUCACAAGAUAAGAAAGAUGAAAUUACAGGAAGAUCACUUUAUUGUGAGAAAGAGGAAUGCUGGGACUCACAUCAAUAUUAACUAAUACACUCUUUAACAAAUUCAUUGUUAUAUUCACUAAUAUUGUAGCUAGACUCUCCCAGAUACAAGAGUCUCAAUAAAUGCUAAUCGAUAGUGAAGGGUGUGCUACAAAAGUCUCCGUAAAUUUAAAUAUUGAAGAUAUUACAAUGAGUGCAUUAAAGAUUGUUGCUAGCAUUUCUCCAGUUCUAAACUAAAUCCCCAGAUACUGGUUUAGCUCUGGUUAUAAAUCAGGACUCCAACAGACACCCAAAAAUUUAAUGUGAUACCUUUGGUUAAGGCAAACUAUAAUAACACAAUGCAAUCAUUCACAACAAACAGUGUAUCACAACAGACUCCAAGGAAACAUCUUUUACCCACCUUAAAUACCAACACCAACACCAACGUAAGUGCUCAACUGCUCAUAAAUAACUCAUUCUCUCUGCUGUAUCACAGCCUUGUUACCUACUUCUCGACAAAAAUGAUACAACUUCCUUAGACACCAAGAUCCAUGCCCCUUCCCAUAGCCCCCAACUUCAAAGUCUUAAUUUGUAACACCACUCACAUAUAUGAAUGCAAUACAUAGACAUAAAUACUUGAAGAGGAGAGCAAAUGAAACGAUUUUCUCCAUAAAUUAAAAUUAAUUUCUGCAAAAGCUAAUUUAUAAACCUCUCGUAUAAUAACUUCUCCAAUAACUUAUUUUUAUUUAUAAAUAAGCUUACAAGAAAACAUGUUUCAUUUGUUUCUUCUUCUCAUAUAUAAGUAUUGAUUUGGAUAUUUUUGAAUCACGGAAAUAAACAUAAUGCAUGUUUGAAUAAACAUCACCAUGAACACUUCUAUGAAUAAGAGAGCUAGUAUAGGUUAAGAAAAAUCAUGCUGUAGAGAAACUAACACAAGAGAACUUUUACAAAUUACUAUACAUAUAAAUUAAUUUUAACUCAUGGAAUAACUUCUUUCGUUUUAUGUUGCUAUUUUGUUCUUGAAGUAUCUAUGAAAAACUUUAUCCAAAGAAGCAAAGCACGCAAUACAAAGAGCAUAAGAUGAACUAAAUUGCAGCAAGACUCUACUCCUCGGAGAUUAUUCAAUUUUGGCACAACAGAUCACACUCUAGCUUGUGAAAGCAUGCAAUGUUGACUAUAUCACUAACACUCAAUUUAAAAAUAAAUAGAAACCUCAUUCAUCACUCUUACACAAAAAAAUUAAAAAUAAAAAUCCUAUUCUCUAAUGCACAUAAUUUCACACAACAAUUGUUUGUAGAAAGCGAAACUAGAUGGGAACUUUUUUUUUUAAUUCAAUCAGUGAGCUUUUCUUCUCACUUGCUGAUGUUCUUGUUGUUGCUGCUGCUGUUGCGACCUAUUGUCAGUGGCCAAUCUAUAAAUCCAAUAGACCUGAAAAAGAUAGAUAGAAGUGAUUAGGUUAGGUUUUGAUAAGGUAAAGAAGAAAAAGAGAUAAAUUGUUAGGGUUACCAAGGCGAAGACGUGAAGCGCUAUUAGAAGAACGAUCAACAACGACACUCCAUAGGAGAUCCAUGAAUGACCUUGCGACUCAGAUUCCGCCAUUGCACAAAAGAAGAGAGGAUUUGGAUGCGCAGCAGCACGACGUCGUUUUACUUGAACGCGGAUCCAACCCUUUCCUUUUCCAUUUUCUGGUUUCUCGACACUCUCAGUAAGAUCUCACUGUCCCUUGUGGGAACAUGCUCUUACUUCCUCACUUUGUUGAAAAUGUUGAAAAAGUAGAAAUGAAUCCAAUGUUUCAUUUUAUUUACCAUUUAAAAGAGAAAAGUGAAUUUGCUGUAAAAU